GCUGCUGGUCCUGGCAGCUAUGGUAGGAGCUAUGAUAGGAGGGUUCCUGAAAUGUCCCCGAUAGCUGUGGAAAGGGUGUGGAUUCCAUGGAAACAAAAACGCCAUAGUUUCCCAAUUAAAAUCAUUCUAGGAUGAAAAGUCUAAAGAGCGUUUCUUAAGAACAGGGAAAGGAUUCUACAUAGCCUUCAUCUAUAGGCAGGACCAGGGUGCAAUGAUGAAUACGUGCUUAACUCUAAAGAAUCAGUUAAAUAAAACACUAAAGGAAGACACAGAGCAAAUAGAAGUGAAAAGAAUAUAUAUAAAAGGAGAAUUAAGUAGAGGCACCAAACUGGAAUGAAAAAAGCAAAAGCUUCAGUGUGAAAGUUAGGAAGAAAGGGGGAGGUAAAACAGAAACAAAGAAUGGCAGCAGAAAUAAAACAGACAGAAUCGAAGCCAGAUGAAUCAGUGAGCACUGUCAAUGGACGGGAUCCAUCAUCAGUGUUGGGACUGUGGAAUGCUGCAAAGCAGGAGUCAGCAAGGACUGAUAUAAUAGCAAGACGCAAAUGGGCUUCAGCAGAAUCCCCCUGGAUUUUAGAGUCAUAAUCAUGAAGAUACUUACCUGGUACAGCUUUCACAUAGAAUAUCAAGAAGAUUGAAAACAACAUUUUCUGUUGUGGUGGAUCCUGUGUUACACAUAACACAAUAAAAUCAGUUAUACAAAAUUUGGCUG
rnacentral:lncRNA from 1 species